GGUCUCAUGGAUGCCAUAUUCACCAUUGCAAUCACAACCUUGGAAGUUGGAACCUCUGUAACGGGCAGAAGAUUCAUAUGCCCAGCCUCAAACCACUAAUAAGAGGCCCAUUAAGGAAGCUCAGGCCCAAUUCUCUUUGUUGCUUGCGGCCUCCAUCGUCCAAGCCCAAUUCUCUCUGUUGCUUUGCGGUUCUCUUCGUCAGAGCAAGUUCUGCAAGAAGACCCACACCCGGUUUCCCAUUUUGUUCAGUGUACAAUGUGUAUUCUUCUUUCUCCAUUUCUCUCUUUUCUGCUUUCUAUUCAGUUAGGGAAUCCCUUAAGAAGGACAUUCCACAUAUGUUUCGAUUAGGGUUUGGUUUCGAAUUUAGCUUUCUUUAAUUUGUUCGUGUGAGAAGUGGAACAAAGCAAGUGAAUUCAGCAUGGCUAAUGGAUUGAUUGGAAUCAAGGUGUGAAGUUAAUUGAUUUUUGCGCUCAGAAAUAUUGGAGUAGCUUGCCCCCAAAUUGGAGAAGAUCAGAGGUAAGAUAUUGAAUAGAUGUGAAAUGGUGAGCAACACCACAGGGAUAAAGUGGUUGGUGACUGUACACAGUUGAUGCAUACAUGUUUCAAGUCAAUAUGAGCUAGAUAAGAAGAAACCGAAUCCUGAACUGCUCGUCUGCCUCAGAAACAUAAAGUUGAAUUACUGAAUUACAUGUGACUUUCUUUGAUAAUGACUAGUGAUUCUGAGGGAAUAUAUUAAAGCAAAGUUGCUGCAUUCCAAUCUUCAAACUGAUUGCAAUGUUUUCUUUUGGCUCAGGAACUAAAGUUGACUGAGGCUUUUGCCUACUGUGAUUAUGUCUUCUUUUUAGUCUUGUUUGAUUCUCUUCA